AGGUUUUUAUGAAGUGUGGUCAUUUUGUCCAUCUGGACAGUUUAGUUUUACAACUUGGGUUAACGUUAGAAUUCAAUUUGACUUGAGGUGAUGAUAAAUGAUUAGGUUAUGUCUGUAUGAAUUACUGCAUAGCGAGGUCCACUGUACUAUUAGAUUUGAUCACACACAGAGUUUUAAUAUACAGUACCUCUCCAUAUGUGUGCACUGAGGCAUGUAGGAGAGUGAGAUUCCAGAGAGAGUUUUAACGAACUCGAAUGGCGUCACAAAAUACAGUAUGCAAGACUAUUUUAGGCAGGGAGACUAACUGUCGCUUAUGUGUCAUGAAAACCUUGCACCUCCUAUUUUGGACAAAUUUAUCUGGAUGGAUACAUUCUGGAAUAGUUUUUUACUGGCCAUAGUCGCUUUUCAAACCCCAAUAGGCAUGCGAUCUGUUUAAAACAUUGUCUUGAUACCAACAAUGGCUCUCCUUGACAAAUUCUAAAUGUUUUACUUAUUGAAUUAAUUUAUUUGAAAUUGAGGAUUUUCAUCUCAAUUUUGUGCGGUGGACUAGAACCCAAAGGAAGGCAAACGAGACAAGAACGCAACACAACUGUUGCAAUGGUCAGAAUAAUGUAUGACCCAAUGUGCACAUGCACACACAGGUAUGGUAGGCAUGUAUAAUGUUGCAGGCUUGUGGGGAAUGCCUGCCCUGUGAAAGGCUGCAGCUGACAGCUGUCACCUCCUGUGUCAAAAUCUGACCAUCUCUUCCCAGGCUUUCUUCUCCCUGUCUCAGACUCACACACAUUCACUUGACUUUAUCUCUUCUGCUCUUUCUUUCUCCCUCUGUUUCUCACAUCAUGUCUUCUCUUGCACUCUCACACCUUAAUACCAAUGGCACACAUACUGUAACUUCACAUCAUAGACACACCCUGCCCUCUUUGUAAACAGUCCCUCUAGCUUUUAUCAGGGGAUAUUCUUUAAAGCUUUACUUAUCAACAUGCCAAAGUCCAAAGUAACGCUGUGCAGGGUCACUAGCUCACUGAGCCUUUUACAUUUCACCCCUUUGGCCUUUUGCGUGGCUCUUCUACACCCUACUUCAAUUGAACCCUAUUCACAAAGCUUGUUUUUUUCCUCAAAACCUUUAUUGUAUGUCAGACUACAAGAUGCAAACAAGCAAGGAAGACUCUUACGCAGCUCCAAUAUCAAUCCCUUCAUCAUAUAGCUGUGGGCUGCUGGUGUUUUUCUUUUUUUAAUGUCAAAGUUUUCUCCUCCAAUUGUUUGUCUUGUCCCAGCCACAUUCCUGAUGUAGUUGUAAAUGGACAGCUAGGUUAUUAAAAACCGGUAGACCAUGACAACUCCUCACAGGGCGCAAGAAAAGAAUGUCAGUUUGAGGGUAACUAAAAUAAAAGUAAAAAAAAAAAACACUUAGUUGCAAAAGAUAAUAUAUAUUUUUUGAAAACAAGUUUGUUAUAAUUAUUGUUAUGAAGGUGUAUCUUAAAGUUUUCAGGAGAAAGUAGGCAUCAAAAGUUAUAUAUAUUAUAUCACAAAUUCAAUGCUGAUUUGUUCUAAAUGUAUUUUCCCAAUGUUUAAGUCAAGUAAAAUCCAGCAUGUUUUCAUAUGUUUUCAGUUUUUUUAAGGUACUAACUUCCCCUUAACCUGCCUUAAACUUUCACUAAAGGUAGUGAGUCCUUACACUUUCAUGUAAUGUAAGCCGUCAGAGGAAUAGCAUAGUCAGAGCAUGAGUUUGAGUUUACAGAACAAAAGGUUUUGCAGCUGCAUUGUAACAUUAACAUGAUUAUUGACACUACUGCUGGUGUAACUAAAAAGGAAAAGAGAGAACCGGCUAAGGACUGUCCAUUAAAUCGUUAAGCCUUAAAUAGCAAGGCUGAAGAAGAAUAUUUAAAAAGCUAACAUGUUUUAACAGAUCAUGUCCUAAUGAAGACCAUGCUGGUUGAAACAUGUUGGCUUUUUCAUAUUUCCUGCCAGAUGACUCCCAA